rnacentral:lncRNA from 1 species
GUGCAAUAGUCCAAAUAAGCAAUAACUCACCAUGUGCAAUAGUCCAAACAAGCUAUUAACUCACAUAUACAAACAAAAUGUUUAAUAAUUACAAUAAUAUUUAAUUACUGUUAUGGGAUCAGUUAUCCAGUAGCAUUUUAAUAUAAUGAGGGAUAUGCUUUGAUACCAUUUUCUUCGGUAACAAAAAUAAUUGCUAUUUCUUGGCAGCUUGAGUGCAAUCAGAGAAAGCAGUAUCUAACACAACUCUGCAUUAGCUAACACAACUCACAUUAUGUUUGAAGAGGUGCACAUGUUUACAUUUAACAAUACUAUAAGUUUUGUAUACCCUAAUACAGUAAGGGUUAAGUCAAUGUGGAAUAUACAAUAAAAUAAUCAAACUCAGAACAUCAAAAUGUAUAGAAUAUUUGACAGCAUUUUUCAAAUUGGAUAGCUAAGCAUUCCACAAAACAUUGUUGAUCAACAAUCCAUUGUCAUUGCAUUUUACCCAGAUAGUCAAAGAGCAGAUUUGUAGUUCUUUUAACAUGGAAAGUCUAUCAUUCAACU